GAUGAAGAACGUAGCGAAAUGCGAUAAGUAGUGUGAAUUGCAGAAUUCCGUGAAUCAUCGAAUCUUUGAACGCACAUUGCGCCUUCUGGUAUUCCGGAAGGCAUGCCUGUUCGAGAGUCAUUAACAACCGUUUCGAUCCCUUUCUUUCAGAAAUUACAAAGAGGAAAAGGGUUUGGUUAUGGUGGAGGAGGGAAAGGGAGCGUUUAGCCUGUAAAAAAAGAGGCUGUGUUCCGCCUCCCCCCCAAAAUUGUACAGGCGGUCGUGUGCGCCCACGCAUCGAGGUGUUGUAAAAGCUGCCACGGCACUUUUCACCUGUGCAGUGCGAGAUUGGCCAGCCGGUUUAAAAACCCCUCCAAACAAUCAAAGGUUGACCUCGGAUCAGGUAGGGAUACCCGCUGAACUUAAGCAUAUCAAUAAGGAGGA
rnacentral:misc_RNA from 1 species